GGGUUGUGAGGUUAAGCGACUAAGCGUACACGGUGGAUGCCCUGGCAGUCAGAGGCGAUGAAGGACGUGCUAAUCUGCGAUAAGCGUCGGUGAGGUGAUAUGAACCGUUAUAACCGGCGAUUUCCGAAUGGGGAAACCCAGUGUGUUUCGACACACUAUCAUUAACUGAAUCCAUAGGUUAAUGAGGCGAACCGGGGAACUGAAACAUCUAAGUACCCGAGGAAAAGAAAUCAACCGAGAUUCCCCCAGUAGCGGCGAGCGAACGGGGAGGAGCCCAGAGCCUGAAUCAGUGUGUGUGUUAGUGGAAGCGUCUGGAAAGGCGCGCGAUACAGGGUGACAGCCCCGUACACAAAAAUGCACAUAUUGUGAGCUCGAUGAGUAGGGCGGGACACGUGGUAUCCUGUCUGAAUAUGGGGGGACCAUCCUCCAAGGCUAAAUACUCCUGACUGACCGAUAGUGAACCAGUACCGUGAGGGAAAGGCGAAAAGAACCCCGGCGAGGGGAGUGAAAAAGAACCUGAAACCGUGUACGUACAAGCAGUGGGAGCCUCUUAAUGGGGUGACUGCGUACCUUUUGUAUAAUGGGUCAGCGACUUAUAUUCUGUAGCAAGGUUAACCGAAUAGGGGAGCCGAAGGGAAACCGAGUCUUAACUGGGCGUUAAGUUGCAGGGUAUAGACCCGAAACCCGGUGAUCUAGCCAUGGGCAGGUUGAAGGUUGGGUAACACUAACUGGAGGACCGAACCGACUAAUGUUGAAAAAUUAGCGGAUGACUUGUGGCUGGGGGUGAAAGGCCAAUCAAACCGGGAGAUAGCUGGUUCUCCCCGAAAGCUAUUUAGGUAGCGCCUCGUGAAUUCAUCUCCGGGGUAGAGCACUGUUUCGGCAAGGGGGUCAUCCCGACUUACCAACCCGAUGCAAACUGCGAAUACCGGAGAAUGUUAUCACGGGAGACACACGGCGGGUGCUAACGUCCGUCGUGAAGAGGGAAACAACCCAGACCGCCAGCUAAGGUCCCAAAGUCAUGGUUAAGUGGGAAACGAUGUGGGAAGGCCCAGACAGCCAGGAUGUUGGCUUAGAAGCAGCCAUCAUUUAAAGAAAGCGUAAUAGCUCACUGGUCGAGUCGGCCUGCGCGGAAGAUGUAACGGGGCUAAACCAUGCACCGAAGCUGCGGCAGCGACACUAUGUGUUGUUGGGUAGGGGAGCGUUCUGUAAGCCUGUGAAGGUGGCCUGUGAGGGUUGCUGGAGGUAUCAGAAGUGCGAAUGCUGACAUAAGUAACGAUAAAGCGGGUGAAAAGCCCGCUCGCCGGAAGACCAAGGGUUCCUGUCCAACGUUAAUCGGGGCAGGGUGAGUCGACCCCUAAGGCGAGGCCGAAAGGCGUAGUCGAUGGGAAACAGGUUAAUAUUCCUGUACUUGGUGUUACUGCGAAGGGGGACGGAGAAGGCUAUGUUGGCCGGGCGACGGUUGUCCCGGUUUAAGCGUGUAGGCUGGUUUUCCAGGCAAAUCCGGAAAAUCAAGGCUGAGGCGUGAUGACGAGGCACUACGGUGCUGAAGCGACAAAUGCCCUGCUUCCAGGAAAAGCCUCUAAGCAUCAGGUAACAUCAAAUCGUACCCCAAACCGACACAGGUGGUCAGGUAGAGAAUACCAAGGCGCUUGAGAGAACUCGGGUGAAGGAACUAGGCAAAAUGGUGCCGUAACUUCGGGAGAAGGCACGCUGAUAUGUAGGUGAAGCGACUUGCUCGUGGAGCUGAAAUCAGUCGAAGAUACCAGCUGGCUGCAACUGUUUAUUAAAAACACAGCACUGUGCAAACACGAAAGUGGACGUAUACGGUGUGACGCCUGCCCGGUGCCGGAAGGUUAAUUGAUGGGGUUAGCGGUAACGCGAAGCUCUUGAUCGAAGCCCCGGUAAACGGCGGCCGUAACUAUAACGGUCCUAAGGUAGCGAAAUUCCUUGUCGGGUAAGUUCCGACCUGCACGAAUGGCGUAAUGAUGGCCAGGCUGUCUCCACCCGAGACUCAGUGAAAUUGAACUCGCUGUGAAGAUGCAGUGUACCCGCGGCAAGACGGAAAGACCCCGUGAACCUUUACUAUAGCUUGACACUGAACAUUGAGCCUUGAUGUGUAGGAUAGGUGGGAGGCUUUGAAGUGUGGACGCCAGUCUGCAUGGAGCCGACCUUGAAAUACCACCCUUUAAUGUUUGAUGUUCUAACGUGGGCCCCUUACCGGGGUUGCGGACAGUGUCUGGUGGGUAGUUUGACUGGGGCGGUCUCCUCCUAAAGAGUAACGGAGGAGCACGAAGGUUGGCUAAUCCUGGUCGGACAUCAGGAGGUUAGUGCAAUGGCAUAAGCCAGCUUGACUGCGAGCGUGACGGCGCGAGCAGGUGCGAAAGCAGGUCAUAGUGAUCCGGUGGUUCUGAAUGGAAGGGCCAUCGCUCAACGGAUAAAAGGUACUCCGGGGAUAACAGGCUGAUACCGCCCAAGAGUUCAUAUCGACGGCGGUGUUUGGCACCUCGAUGUCGGCUCAUCACAUCCUGGGGCUGAAGUAGGUCCCAAGGGUAUGGCUGUUCGCCAUUUAAAGUGGUACGCGAGCUGGGUUUAGAACGUCGUGAGACAGUUCGGUCCCUAUCUGCCGUGGGCGCUGGAGAACUGAGGGGGGCUGCUCCUAGUACGAGAGGACCGGAGUGGACGCAUCACUGGUGUUCGGGUUGUCAUGCCAAUGGCACUGCCCGGUAGCUAAAUGCGGAAGAGAUAAGUGCUGAAAGCAUCUAAGCACGAAACUUGCCCCGAGAUGAGUUCUCCCUGACUCCUUGAGAGUCCUGAAGGAACGUUGAAGACGACGACGUUGAUAGGCCGGGUGUGUAAGCGCAGCGAUGCGUUGAGCUAACCGGUACUAAUGAACCGUGAGGCUUAACCUUACAACGCCGAAG
rnacentral:rRNA from 1 species